GAUUUCUGAUUCGGUAUGUCUAGCCCGCCACGGUUACGUGUGUGAGUGCUGGAAUGUUACCGAUCAUCCGUUCCAGAGCACCCCUCUGCUCUUUACUGAGUUGGAGGUCAGUGUCAUCUGGAUCUUUUACUUUGAACAAAUUAGAGUGUUUCAAGCAGGCGUUGGUGCGUUGAAUACAUUAGCAUGGAAUAAUAAUUUAGGACUUCGGUUCUAUUUUGUUGGUUUCUAGGACUGAAGUAAUGAUUGAUAGGGAUAGUUGGGGGUGCUAGUAUUCAGCGGCCAGAGGUGAAAUUCUCGGAUUCGCUGAAGACUAACUUAUGCGAAAGCAUU
rnacentral:rRNA from 1 species